UGCCCGAUGGUGUAACGGUAGCACACCAGCCUUUGAAGCUGAGAGCCCUGGUUCGAAUCCAGGUCGGGCAGCCA
rnacentral:tRNA from 1 species